rnacentral:lncRNA from 1 species
AUGUGUGGCCCAUCCCAGGCUUAGUGAUUUUUUUCUUAAUAAUCUUAUACUAUUAAACAAAGCUGUCAUAGUGAGUAACUUUGUAAAUAUUUUAUUUAUUAUAUAUGUAAGAGUAUCUGUAGGAUAGAUUCUUAGAAGAGGAACCACUGAGCCAAAGAGUAUGCGAAUUUGUCAUUUUGAUAGUUUCAAAUUCCCCUGCAAUCUGUUCUGCCACUAGCCACUUGUGACAAAGCUGCUUCCCUAAGGUAUGACAUACAUAGUUUGUCAUAAAACUUACUAGCAAAUCUCUGCCAAUUCGAGAACUGAAAAGUUAUUUAUAUGUGCAUGUGUGUAUGAUAGAGUUGUAUGAAUAAAUACAAUGUGUAGUUAGGCUGAGCUUGGGUAGCUCUACAGAGUGCCAUGAAGACAGAAGGCACUGGAAAGGUAAAUUCAAGCAGGAAGCUCUGUCCAGGGGAGGCAUGGGAGCCAAGUAAGGCAGGUGAAGGAGUUCCCCCAAAGAGAGGAGGGCCCAAGCCAAGGCAGGGGUAUGUCCUCUGCACCAGCGGGUGGGAAAGGAUAGAGUGCAUCACUUCCAAAGAAGCUAGAACCUGGCCUGGAUCUCACCAUGUAGCCCAGGCUAGCCUCAGAUUCAUAGCAACCCCCCUGCCUCAGCCUCCUGAGUACUGAGACCAGAAGCAUAAGCCUCCACACCCAGUCUACAUAUUCUGGUUCUUUAUGAGCUAGCUGUGGAUGGCUUCUAAAAGCAAGUCCUAAGGCAGCUCUCAGAAAACCCUUGAGUGGAAACAUGGCUGAGACCCCAAAGCACAAUGUGCCUCUGCUGCCCCUGUGUGCCCUGGUCUAUGACACCGAUGUCUUCCGUACACCUGACAACGGAGAGCGAGAGCAUAUAGACAACACAAGUCAGGGAUACAUUUUCUUCCCAGUAUCAAAAACACAGACGACAACAACAACAAACAAAAGCCAGAUAAUUGGGCCUCAUCCAAAUUUUAAAACUUCUCUGCCUCAAAGAAUACAACAAAUAAGUGGAAGUAUUGCCAGUGACAAAUUGAGUUUUUAAAUUUUAUGUAACUAAAUCUGUGUCUUUGUAUGCCAGCUUAAGACAAUUUUAUUUAUUUUACUUUAGGUUUUUUUUUUUUUUUUUUUUUUUUUGGUUGUUUGGUUUGGUUUGGUUUGGUUUGGUUUGGUUGGUUUUGAGACAGGGUCGUACUAUGUAGCCUGGCUGUCCUGGAAUUCUUUACAUAGACCAGGUUGGCCAUGGUCCAGCAGAGGUCUACCUGCCUCAGCCUUCUCAGUUUUAGGAUUAAAGGCAUGCACCUCCAUGGCUGGAAAGACAUUAAUUUUAAAAUAAAAUAAAUAAAUUUUUAAAAAUUAAGUUACUCAAUGUUCAUGAUUUCAUGGAUCUUGGAGGAGAACCUGCAGCCAUGACUUUACUAAACCAGCAAAAUCCCUAGCUACAAUCUAAACAUUUGUCCUUUUAUGCACAGAUAAGCAUAGUCUUCACCUUUUGUGGUGGUUUGAAUAGGUAUGGCCUCCACUGACUCAUGCCUGUGAAUGCUUGGCUAUAGGGAGAGGCACUAAUAGGAGGUGUGGCCUUGCUGGAGGAAGUGUGUCAUGGGAGGUAGGGGAGUAGGGGGCUUGAGGUCACAUAUAUGCUCAAGCUAUGCCCCAUGUGGGACACAGUCUCCUUCUGCUGCCUGUGGAUCAAGAUGUAGAACUCUUGGCUCCUCCAGCACCAUGUCUGCCUGCACACUGCCUGCACGCUGCCAUGCUUCCUGCCAUAAUGAUAAUGAAAAAUUCCCUGAAACUGUAAGCCAACACCAGUGGAAGAGUGGACAUAGUCAUGAUGUUUCUUCACAGCAAUAAAACCCUAAGAUACCCCUCAUCAAGGGAAUUUCUCUUUGCAGCAGACAGAAAUCACUGCAGAAAAUCAUAGCCCAGCAUAAUGCAAAGCUGUAGAGCCCAGUCCAAAUAGAUACAUCUACAAAACAUUUCUGCACCUAAGACUUGGAGAACAUUCAGGGCCUGGGAGAGGGCAGAAAGCCUGUGUGAAACAGAGCAUCAGAAAGUUUGCAGUGAUAUUGUAUCUCCCUGCAGUGUUAGAAGCUAUACCCAUAUAUGUAUUGCCUAGAACAAAGACAACACCAAAGUAGGUGAAGAGAAGACCACAAGGCUUCAGUGGCUACCUAGGCAGCUUCAGGCAACUAAGGAUGCUGAGAGUGGCAGAAAUAGCCUUCUCCAGGGAAGAACACACCAAUUGGUUGUCCAAUACCAAAAGAUCAGUCCUGAAAGCAUAUGUAUGAAUAACAUUAUACACACUGAUCGGUUAUAUUUAGAAAUAUAUAUGCAUAUAAAAAUAUAUAUGUGCAUGUAAUGAUAUAUAAUGAAAAGAAAAGAGGCCAUGAAUUUGUGAAGGAGUAAGGUGGGGUUUAAGGGAGGGUCUGGAAGGAAGAAGGGGAAGCAUACAAUGAUGUAAUUAUAUUGUAAUUUCUAAAAUUUG